UGCAUAUGUUUUCUCACGAUGGUCUUCCUAGCCUAGCUUGUGUUGACCACAAUGCCUUUUUGGCGUUGCUGAUGCAGUCCA